rnacentral:rRNA from 1 species
GUGGGGAAUAUUGGACAAUGGGGGGAACCCUGAUCCAGCCAUGCCGCGUGUGUGAAGAAGGCCUUUUGGUUGUAAAGCACUUUAAGCGAGGAGGAGGCUACCGAGAUUAAUACUCUUGGAUAGUGGACGUUACUCGCAGAAUAAGCACCGGCUAACUCUGUGCCAGCAGCCGCGGUAAUACAGAGGGUGCAAGCGUUAAUCGGAUUUACUGGGCGUAAAGCGCGCGUAGGUGGCUAAUUAAGUCAAAUGUGAAAUCCCCGAGCUUAACUUGGGAAUUGCAUUCGAUACUGGUUGGCUAGAGUAUGGAAGAGGAUGGUAGAAUUCCAGGUGUAGCGGUGAAAUGCGUAGAGAUCUGGAGGAAUACCGAUGGCGAAGGCAGCCAUCUGGCCUAAUACUGACACUGAGGUGCGAAAGCAUGGGGAGCAAACAGGAUUAGAAACCCUUGUAGUCC